UAGGUAAUUUGAUUGAGAACGCGUUUUGGAACGUUAAUUGCGCAGAAGGAUGCGCAGAAGGAUGCGCAGAACGUCAGUCAGGUGGUAAACAUCGAGAAAGUGAUUUCAGAAAUUUGUUGGAGUUAUUUUUGAUGCUCGAGGCGGCGGCAGUCGAUGAAAAUUUACUACGCUGUGGAGAAUCAUGUCGGUUGGUCAACAACACAGAAUUCACGACGCUAGCGAAAUCGACAUAACCAAUUGAUUGGAGAUCUAAACAUAUAAACAAGCAAGAUUUAAGAAAAUCACUUGGGAAUCGCUGACGGGAUUUCAGAGGUUCCUCAAGAUAAUGGUACUACAAAAGCAUGGGGAUUUGAAGAAGUCUUCUGUUGCCUGUCCUUUCUUCCACAUUUACAAAAACGUUCUACGUUGAACAUUGAAAUUCAAAUGAUAGAAACGUACAACUACAGAUUUAUACAGAAGAUGACAACCUUUCUUAUUACUCUCAGAUACAUCAUGGCUUUCAUCAUCCAUAUGUUAUCGCGGUCCAAUUAAAAUUCAGAUUUACUGGCGGCAGACGUAGUAACAAUAUUAAGGAUCAGGGAACCAUUUCACGAGCGAAGACGACGUUUCGUUCUCCGUAACCCCUUGCACGGUUAAUGAAGAGUUCGCUAUAUCCCGGGAUGGCAGCUGACGUUGCAUUCAUGCAUGAGAGUGCCGCGUCCCGGUCAUUUGGCCUGUGGUGCGACUAAAAACAAGGCAGCGCUCUCGAGUUUUGUCCCAUCGGUGGCCGGUAACGCGCCUUCCAUGGGGACCAGCAGCAAAAGAAAAUUUCAAAGGGGACCAUCGACCCGCUGGCCCACACAUCGAGUUGCCGGAACAUGCGGAUUAAGCCAUUAAAGCCUGCUUCAAGCUGUUUCGGGGAAAUUCACGAGACAGAGAGUUCGUUAUUGUUACUCUAUCACAAGCAAAACUGCUGUCCGUUUAUUUCGAUACAUGCGACGAAUGAACCGUCGUGUCGCCAUGAGAUUAUUAUUGAACCUGCACCUUGAUUCUCUUGCUAUAGGAUAAGGGAGAGAUAUUUGAGUCAAGCUAAGUAAUUCGUCAAAUUAUUUUGUUUACCAACAAUUUUUAAGAUUUACAUUUGAAAACACAUUAUUUAGCUCUUUUUAACUGACGUGAUAUAUCCUUGUUAAUUCAAAUAGGGCCACCAUAGGUCUAUUUGAAUCAUUUUCUCAUGCAUAAGCAUGUAUGAUAUUUUCUCAUCAUUUGAUUCAUUUGAUUAUUCCAUGCAAAGUUAAAAAUUAAAUUUUAAGAUGUUGAAGAUAUUGGCACAAGUAACCCUAACUUACUACCAUACCUAGAUUUAAUAUUCAAAAUUCUACUUUUAAGUUAUGUUCUGAUGUGCAUGUAAUAAUCAGUUACUGAUGUGUUUGUGUAAUCUAUCCUUCGGUUUAAUUUCGUGAUUUUCAAUAAAUUUUCAGUAAAAUGAUCAUGUACAUCUCUCAUAUACUAAGAGAUACCUUGGUGUUUAUUUGAAAUUUCUACGAAGAUUCUUAUCGACUCCUCAAGCUCGUAAAAGUAUGCCUUCGUUUCACCGCGUGAAACGACCAACAAAUUACACAACGGUCAGACUUUUACUUGAAUGAGCAAAGAACCGCGAGAACAGCGAUGGUCAAGCACGCGCGAGACCUUCCACGAGAUAAUUUAUUGGUCAAUCAAAAUGACGCAUGGAGGUAUAAGGUGACACGUCAGCGUGCACGGUUGACCAUUAAUUUUAAUACCCGUCACCAUCAGAUCUCCCGACGCUGCUUUCCACGUUGGCUCCCCACUGACGGUGGAGCGUAUCCAUCGGCAUCGGCUACCGUACGACUAAUGCCCCGUUCACUAACGACGAUCAUCCUUGAAGAUCUCGGUCUACCGAUCUCUCACGGUCGCCACGAAUUAUUAUCCUUCUCUUAAUCCCGCGUAGCUGACCCGCCGCACAAUUCUAUCGGGUGGCAAUUUCAAUAAUGGAACAAAUCGAAGGAUUAAGCUUUUUGAAUAUAUAGAAAAAAAUUAGGGAACUUAGAGAAACAAGCAAAUUUUCGAAACGGAGUUAAAGAUUAGAGACAAUCUUUUAUGUGCAACUUCCACAAAAUAGCAGCAAAAGAAAUGAUCGUGAAUAUAAUACACUGAUAAAGAGACAAGGGAUAACGAAGAAAAACGAAAAGCGGAAUAAACCAAUAAAUACCUACAAUCUUGUGAAAAAUCAUGCAAUUAAGAUACGAUCAAACGAAAGCUGCGAGCUGGCGUCCGAAUAUAUCAAUGGUACGCCAA